GGGAAUCGAGCGGUGAUCUCUCGUCGACGGAAUCAAUCGGCGUCGGUGUACUCGUCGUCUCUCACCCUCUCCUCGACGGAAUCAAGCAGAAUCAAUCGAUGAUCUCUCGACGACUCCGCGUCUCUGUCUCUCACCUCGACGACAGCUCGUCUCUCUCCCUCUCCUCGAGGAGACCCCGUCUCUCUCUCUCUUCUCGACGAUACCUCGUCUCUCUCUGUCUCCUCGACGAUGCCGCAUCUCUAUCUCUCUCCGCCUCUCCUCCAAUCGAAAGGUAAUCAAUCAUUUGUUCUUGUGUUCUUCUUUCAUGCAUGUCUUUGAUUAGGCUUCUUCUUGUUCUGAUCGCAUGUUUGAUUUGUUUUGUCGGUUCAAUUCUGUCUCGCGGUGAUUCUCUACGACGGCGACGGAGCUCUCUGCGGUGGCUCUCCCCGGAUCAAAAGGUAAAGCUUCUGUUUCAUGUAUUUGAAUCAAUGAUGUCUAAGAUUGUGGUUCUUCUGUUACGAUAUUGAUUUGUUUGUUCAGUUCGAUACCGUCUGUAGAUUGAUUGGUUUGUUGUGUUCGAUUAAUUGUGAUUUGCUUGCUGGUAGUUUAUUAAUUUAGAUUUGGUUUCUGUUUGUUGAUAUAAUUUUUUGUUUCUGUGUUUGCCGUUUUGAGAUGGAGAGGAUCAAAUACGUUAUGCAUACACGGUGAAGGUUCAUCGAUCAAAGGACUCCAAUCACAAAACAAGGUGAAGAAGACUGCUUGAGGAGAGUGAGAUCAUCACAUGAUAAUAAGGUAAUGGGACUACUCAUUACCAUCAGAGCCACAUACCAUGUUCCGUUUAAAACGAAUAAAAUACGUGGCAUUGGUAGUAAUGAGUGUUCCCGCUACCGUAUUCGGUUGAAGAUUCACGGGUGUUGUAUGUGACGUUGAAAGAGCUAGAGUGAGAUGUACUCGGCUGUGUCAGGUUCACGGGUGUUGUAUUAUUGUGCAUGGGUGUUGUUGUGUCACAUGUAAUAUAUUGUAAUUUCACGGGUAUGUAUUAUGCAUGGGUGUUGUAUGUAUUAUGAUCACGGGUCUUGUAUGUAUUAUUGAUCACGGGUGUCACUUGUAUUAUAAAGUCACCAAACUCAUCUCA